CACGAUUUGUAAAAAUAGGAAGGACGCUAUCCAUCUUAGUGUCCAGGCGUGGACGCUCUCGUAAAUAGCGUCCACCUAGGGACGUGGUGGUGCACAGCGUCCAGGCUGUUACAGCCCAUCGUAUUCGUGGCCCAUUCAUGAUUCAUCUCCUCAUCCAUGGGAAAAAGAAAAAUGCACAAAACCUACCCAUCUGCCGCAAUCCUCUUCCAUUCUUCCUCCGAGCGAGAGGAGGCACCGUCGGCCACCGCUGCCCUUCUCCUCCAUAUGUGGGAGGCGUGUCCAUCGUGAAUCUUGGGAGGCUACAGCCGCCGUCUGCCUCCAUCCUGGAAGGCCGUCGCCGCGGUCCACUAGUCUUCCCCGGGCUUCCGCUGAUACCAUACCCUGCAUGUAUGAUCCUGACAUAAUUGGUGGAAUUUAUCAAGGAAAAUAUGGAGCGCAUGGCCUGUUUCCAGAAUGAAUUUCAGAUUGAUCCUUCUAUGAGAUAUCCAGCAUAUGUGAUUGUUGUGGCUUUGUUGCAUAAAGACAGCAAGGGUGUCUGCUACUGCUAUAGGGCCAUAGGGGGCUUACAAAACUAAGGAUAAUGGCUUUGGAGGUGUUCAGCUCUUCACAUGGACGGAAUAUAAGUGUUUGUCGUCUCAACAUGUAGUUGCAUGUUCCUGUUAGGCUCUUUGUUUGGAUAGGGAAGAGUGUUUAAAACUGAAGCGCAGACAGUAGAACAUGUUCAUGUAAGUGCAGUGAUGUAAGCUGCCAUGAUGUAAUUAUAUAUAAGUGGGAUUUGCCUCUUCCUA